AUGUGUGAAAACAGUCAAGAUCCAAGAAUCCCCAGGCACACAACUCCAGAUGGUGGAGAUGUCAGGCAACAUCCUGGUGCCCAGGCAUCUUCAUUUGGUUGCAAGUGGCCAAUAGCCAGGUGCAAAUUGACCAGAUGGCCCUUUACUAUUAAGGCAGGGAUAGAGGAGCAGAUGUUGCUGGACUUCAGCUCCCAGCAGCCCCAGCCAGCAUGGCCAAUGGCCAGUUGUAGUCCUGCAACAUCUGCAGAGCCAGAGGUUCCCCAUCUCUGCUGUAAGAUCAGGGUGUUCAACCUAUGAAACCAAUUUGAAACAACUGGUAGCUGGUGGUGUUAAGAUUAGGCAGACACCUUCAUUAUACUGUUCUAGAUGUCUGGUAAUACAGUCAUACCUCAUGUUAUGUCCGCUUCAUGUUACGUUCCACGGCGACCCGGAAGUACCGGAAAGGGUUACUUUUGGGUUUCGCCGCUAGCGCAGACACGCAAAAUGACAUCACGCACAUGCACAGAAGUUGCGAAUCGUAACCCGCGCGUGCGCAGACGAGCCGCUGUGGGUUGUACUCUUUUCAUGUUGUGAAUGGGCCUCCGGAACAGAUCCCGUUUGCAACCAGAGGGUACCACUGUGUUGUUGUUGUUGUUGUUGUUGUUGUUGUUUAAUACAGACACGAUUUGUCAUAUACAGUUUUUAAAAAACUGUUUGCAUCUGAAUAUAAAUUAUAAUUAUAUUACUGUUUUAUGUACAGGGGUUAAGAGAUUCCCCCCCCCAAUUAUGUAGCUUAUAAUAUUUAUUUAACAAAUUAAGCAGCUUGUAAUAUUUAUUAAACAGGCUUGUGUACAAUAAAUAUCUUUGCUAGGCAUCUCACUCUUGCAAGGCGAGGAAGCUGCUGCCUCCAUCCAGAUACAAGCCCACUGCCACCUCGUGUUGACACUAUGAAUGGCAGCAAAUAUGAAGGAAAUGCUCUGCUAAGCUGUUCAGCAGGGUGUAACUGCUCCUGAACAUUCCUCCACUGGUGCAUGUGUCUACCCUGUGAUUUGGCUGUAUCGCUUCUAGAGCUGAAAUCACCAUAACGACAUGAGCCCCUCCGCCUUCCCCAACAGCUUCACUGAGAUCAUUUACUUUGAGAAAGACUGAUCCCUGAAGCAUCUAGUCAUUGUCAAAGAGCAGGGGUGGGCAACCUAAGGCCCAUGGGCCGGAUGUGGCCCAAUGGCCUUCUCAAUCCGGCCCACAGAUGGCUGGGAAUCAGUGUGUUUUUACAUGAGUUGAAUGUGUCCUUUUACUUAAAAUGCAUCUCUGGGUUAUUUGUGGGGAAUAGGAAUUCAUUCAUCCCCCCCCCAAAAAAAAAUAUAGUCCAGCCCACCACAUGGUCUGAGGGACGGUGGACCGGCCCACAGCUGAAAAAGGUUGCUGACCCCUGCCAAAGAGCAUGCUGUGUUUACCCCAGCUGGAUAGCUCAGUUGGUUGGAGUGUGGUGCUAAUAGCACCAAGGUUGCAGGUUCGAUCCCUGUAAUAGACAGCUGCAUUGCAAGGAGUUGGGACUAGAUGAUCCAAGGGGCCCUUUCAACUCUAUUAUUCUAUGUGUGCAUCCCCAGACAGCUGCAACUUGUCAGAAGGGAUGCCCCCAAUUCAGGAUACACAUGUUUGGCAGCAACUACACACCCAGGGAACUAAGAGAAGAACUCAAAGAGACAUAGGGUUGCAUGCAACAGUAGUCCUGCUCAGAGGAGACCCACUGGAACUAACACACCUAACUAACUUAGGUCCAUUCAUUCCAAUGGGUCUUCUCUUCAGCAUCCCUUAGUUGGAUGCAGCCCACAGACUUUCAGCUGUGUACCUAGUGGCGGCACAGGUACUGUGGACUUGAGGGGUAUGCUUGUUUGUAUUUGGCAAACUGCUCUGCUUCUGACAUUAACCCCAUGACAUAUCAAUUUCCUAACCAUGGUUAGUAUAUUUAACAAGAGAACCCAGGGGUCAGUUCUUAGAAAAAUGCUGGGGCUUCAAUCUGUCUGGCUUCCAGCAUUCAUAUCUCAGUCGGUACAGCAUGAGACAAACAUCUCAGAGUUGUGAGUUUGAUUCCUGCUUGACUCAAUGAUCCUCAUGGUCCCAACACAAAGGUUGGAAGCCCUCCUGGACCUAAGCCCUCAUGGACAGGUAGAAUAAUAAUAAUUAUAAUAAAUUUUUAUUUAUAUCCCACCCUCCCCGGCCAAAUCCAAGCUCAGAGCAGCUAAUAACAAGUAAAAAUAGCACAGUGUACAUAAAAUCACACAGUUAAUUAAUUAAAAUACAUUCUAAAAUCAAUUCAGAAUCAAAUUAAUGGCAACCAUUGGGCUAGAGUUUUAUGAGGAUUACAGAAGGAGAGAGGGGGUCAGACUGUAACUUGGCCAAAGGCCUGGUGGAACAGAUCCAUCUUGCAGGCCCUGCGGAAAGAUGUCAAGUCCCGCAGGGCCCUAGUCUCUUGUGACAGAGCAUUCCACCAGAUUGGGGCCACGGCCGAGAAAGCCCAGGCUCUGGUUGAGGCCAGCCUAACCUCCCUGUGGCCUGGGAUCUCCAAGAUGUUUUUAUUUGAAGACUGUAAGGUCCUCCAUGGGACAUACCAGGAGAGGCGGUCCUGUAGAUACGAGGGUCCUAGGCCGUAUAGGGCUUACCAGCACCUUAAACUAGAUCCUAUACUCCACCGGGAGCCAGUGCAGCUGGUAUAGCACCGGGUGAAUGUGAUCCCGCAGCCGUAAAGGAGUCUUGCCGUGGCAUUCUGCACCCGCUGGAGUUUCUGGGUCAGUCUCAAGGGUAGCCCCACGUAGAGUGAGUUACAAUAAUCAAGCCUGGAGGUAACCGUCGCGUGGAUCACAGUGGCUAGGUCAGCUAAAAGAAGCACAUCGCACCUGUCCAUGAUCACUUUGCUCAUUAUCUCUUUCUCAUAUAUUCUUGGAGCUGACAGCAAUGAAAAGAGAGGCUAGGGCUGGAUGCAAAUCCCAUCCCUGCCAGAAUCCAAAGCAGUUAUUUUGGGCAAUAGAUUAGAGCGGGGUGUAAUUUUCUUGCCUGUAAAUCAGAAGCUGUUUAAACUAAUAGUGAGUUAUGAACAUUAUCCUUUAGGGGUUAAGUACUUCAUUCUGGGAGAUUAAACUUUAUUGCAACAUUUAUCCUAACAUAAAAAUCUUGCCCUAUUAGAAUAAUUGGUACAUUGGUGCAAGAAUUCUGGAGCUCUGUAAAAAGAAAACGAUUGAAUAAGCUAGUUUUUAUUAUGGGUUAAAGGGCCGAUUGUGAAUAUGCAGACAUGACUGGAGCUGUCUAAACCUGAUGGCUUGCAGCCCAAUGUGUUAACUUACUCCACCGAAGUUUGAGAUGUUGUAUUAGAUCUGUGGUAUUAGAUCUGUGACAGUCUUUACACACAUGCAAGACAUUGAAAGUGAUGAGUAUGUAUGUAUGAACCAAACCGAGAGACUUCCUUACAAAUAGAAAGAAAAGUGGACUGAUCUCAUAAUUGCUAUGAGCCACAUAAGACACUAGAUGUCAGAAUUGUAUUUCGUUUGUCUAUAGUCCAAGCCAGAAUGAAAGCAUACUGGAUUAGGAAGUCUGUCUCUCUCUUUCCCCCUCACCCCUGCUUCUUCUACAAACUAUAAGGAUGGGUUCAUGUUUGCAUUAAACGUAUUAAAUGCCAUAGGGUUUGUUUGUUUUUUGUAUCCAUGAGGCACAACAACUGCUCUAGAAUAAAUGGGUGAUAUCCCAGUCAUAAAGUAGCAUGAGAAAGUAACUUAAGUCCCAUGACUUCAAUGGGUCUACUCUGAAUGCGGCUUAGUUGAAUACCACCCAAUUUAUUUUGCAUUCCUUGCACUGACCUUCGCUCAGAGCUGCAUCAUGUAUGGACCAUGUACUGACUGUACCUCAUUCUAGCUGAAGCCUCUUUCACAGAAACUCAAAAUGCACAGAGUUAGCCAGUGUUUCAAAAAAAUCUAAGGUCCAUGUAAGAUCGUUCUUAACCUGAAACUGCUCUUAACCUGAAGCACCACUUUAGCUAAUGGGGCCUCCUGCUGCUGCCGCGCCGCCGGAGCACGAUUUCUGUUCUCAUCCUGAAGCAAAGCUCUUAAUCCGAGGUACUAUUUCUGGGUUAGCAGAGUCUGUAACCUGAAGCGUAUGUAACCCGAGGUACCACUGUAAUGCCUGCACUGCACUAAAUCAUGUGAAGGGUGUGCUGUACUGUCUACACCAGGCAUCCCCAGACUCGGGCCUCCAGUUGUUUUGGGACUACAAUUCCCAUCACCCCUAGCUAACGGGACCAGUGGUCAGGGAUGAUGGGAAUUGUAGUCCCCAAACAGCUGGAGGGACGAGUUUGGAGAUGCCUGGUC
ensembl:lncRNA